rnacentral:rRNA from 1 species
UACGAAGGGGGCUAGCGUUGCUCGGAAUCACUGGGCGUAAAGGGUGCGUAGGCGGGUCUUAAGUCAGGGGUGAAAUCCUGGAGCUCAACUCCAGAACUGCCUUUGAUACUGAGGAUCUUGAGUUCGGGAGAGGUGAGUGGAACUGCGAGUGUAGAGGUGAAAUUCGUAGAUAUUCGCAAGAACACCAGUGGCGAAGGCGGCUCACUGGCCCGAUACUGACGCUGAAGCACGAAAGCGUGGGGAGCAAACAGG